UACAGAGGGUGCGAGCGUUAAUCGGAAUUACUGGGCGUAAAGGGUGAGUAGGUGGAGCUUUAAGUCAGGUGUGAAAUACCCGAGCUUAACUUGGGAAUAGCGCUUGAUACUGAAGCUCUAGAGUACAGUAGAGGAUAGUGGAAUUUCCGGUGUAGCGGUGAAAUGCGUAGAUAUCGGAAGGAACAUCAGUGGCGAAGGCGGCUAUCUGGACUGAAACUGACACUGAGUCACGAAAGCGUGGGUAGCAAACAGG
rnacentral:rRNA from 1 species